GAUGAACGCUGGCGGCGUGCCUAAUACAUGCAAGUCGAGCGAACUGAUUAGAAGCUUGCUUCUAUGACGUUAGCGGCGGACGGGUGAGUAACACGUGGGCAACCUGCCUGUAAGACUGGGAUAACUUCGGGAAACCGAAGCUAAUACCGGAUAGGACCCUCUCCUUCAUGGGAGAUGAUUGAAAGAUGGUUUCGGCUAUCACUUACAGAUGGGCCCGCGGUGCAUUAGCUAGUUGGUGAGGUAACGGCUCACCAAGGCAACGAUGCAUAGCCGACCUGAGAGGGUGAUCGGCCACACUGGGACUGAGACACGGCCCAGACUCCUGCGGGAGGCAGCAGUAGGGAAUCUUCCGCAAUGGACGAAAGUCUGACGGAGCAACGCCGCGUGAGUGAUGAAGGCUUUCGGGUCGUAAAACUCUGUUGUUAGGGAAGAACAAGUACGAGAGUAACUGCUCGUACCUUGACGGUACCUAACCAGAAAGCCACGGCUAACUACGUGCCAGCCGCCGCAGUAA
rnacentral:rRNA from 1 species